rnacentral:rRNA from 1 species
UACAGAGGUCCCAAGCGUUGUUCGGAUUCACUGGGCGUAAAGGGUGCGUAGGUGGUGAGGUAAGUCGGAUGUGAAAUCUCCGAGCUCAACUCGGAAAUGGCAUUGGAAACUACCUUGCUCGAGGGUUGGAGGGGGUACUGGAAUACUUGGUGUAGCAGUGAAAUGCGUAGAUAUCAAGUGGAACACCAGUGGCGAAGGCGAGUCUCUGGACAUUUCCUGACGCUGAGGCACGAAAGCCAGGGGAGCAAACGGG